AUACUUACCUGGCAGGGGAGACACCAUGAUCAAGAAGAUGGUUCUCCCAGGGUGAGGCUUGGCCAUUGCACUCCGGUUGUGGGGGAUGCGCUGGACUGUAGUGCAAUUGAUCUGUAACGUGAUUGGAUGAGAAUCUACAGACUUUUUGACAUAUUUGAUUUAUUUGUUUCAGGU
rnacentral:snRNA from 1 species